AGCGAACGCUGGCGGCAAGCUUAACACAUGCAAGUCGAACGAUGUAGCAAUACAUAGUGGCGGACGGGUGCGUAACACGUGGGAAUCUGCCUUUAGGUAAGGAAUAACUCAGGGAAACUUGAGCUAAUACCUUAUAAUGUCUUCGGACCAAAAAUUUAUUGCCUAAAGAUGAGCCCGCGGUAGAUUAGCUAGUCGGUGGGGUAAUGGCCUACCAAGGCAACGAUCUAUAGCUGGUCUUAGAGGAUGAUCAGCCACACUGGGACUGAGACGCGGCCCAGACUCCUACGGGAGGCAGCAGUGGGGAAUAUUGGGCAAUGGACGAAAGUCUGACCCAGCUAUGCCGCGUGAAUGAUGAAGGCCUUAGGGUUGUAAAGUUCUUUUACCGGGGAAGAUAAUGACGGUACCCGGAGAAAAAGCUCCGGCUAACUUCGUGCCAGCAGCCGCCGUAA
rnacentral:rRNA from 1 species